UAAUUUUCUUACCCGACAUCUUCCUCCUCUCCACUGCCGCCUCUCCCUCUCCCUCCCGCGCCGCCUCCUCCAUCUCCUUCUCUUCCACACGAUCGACGCCGACACCCCUCUCAUCGCCGACACUGAUCCGUCCUCUUCGGUCACGAGCGAGAAGGGGUCCCUCUGCAAGUUUCCUCGCGUCGUCGCAGACGCCGCAAGACCCAAUUUUGGCCUUCCCUCUGCUCUAGCUUGGAUCCGCCGACUUCAUCCUUCCUGCUCCCUCUCGCGAGUUCCCGAGCCACAGUUGCCGGUCUCUCCUCAUCAUGCGAGAGCCACAGUCGCCGACACCCCUCUUCCCAGCGUCGGUCGUCUUCUCUUCUUCUCCCCCGAGCUGCACGGCGCCGACACUUCCUCCCCUCAGCCCGAGCAGCGGCGAUUUCCUUUUCCCGGAGCUCUCUGCGUGAAGCCAAGUCACCGCCGCUCGCCACCCAUCGCCAUCGCCGGUGAAGCCCCACAGCAGCGGCCGACCCCACAACUUCAAGGUUGGCCAAUCAUAGUGCCCUAACCAUAGUCGUUCCGUUCUCUAGCUUCGAUUAUCAAGCUAAGUUUCCUUUCGAACAGUUGAGCGUCAACAGAAGCGCUGGUUUUGGGUUAGGUCUUGACUUAGUGCUGAUUUGGAGUGUUGUUUGGGAAGACAUCAGCUACCUUGCUGCCACCUUGGAGGGUUAUUGUCUUGGAGGAUCGGGGAUUUCGUUUAGUUUCAGCCACAACACCAUCGAUAACUAGUAGCUGGCUCCAUUAGUGACUAGUUCGAGUUGUGCCACAUCGAUCGCUGAAGAAGAAGAGGACUUUGAUUCGAGAUGAACGUCACGAUGUGGGAUUGUUUGGCAUGAUGGACAGUUAAAGACGAGUACUUCUUGCUUUGUUUCUUUUAGUACUUUGAGCUUUGUGCAUGAACUAUUUUGGAUAAGAAACUGAUUUUUUUUAUCUUAA